GACGAACGCUGGCGGCGUGCCUAAUACAUGCAAGUCGAACGGUCUUUUCUAUGGAAGCUUGCUUCCACUGAGAAGAUAGUGGCGAACGGGUGAGUAACACGUGGGUAACCUGCCCAUAAGAGGGGGAUAACAUCCGGAAACGGGUGCUAAUACCGCAUAGUUUUCUUGAUCGCAUGAUCGGGAAAGGAAAGACGGCCUUUGUGCUGUCGCUUAUGGAUGGACCCGCGGCGUAUUAGUUAGUUGGUGGGGUAACGGCUCACCAAGACGAUGAUACGUAGCCGACCUGAGAGGGUGAUCGGCCACAUUGGGACUGAGACACGGCCCAAACUCCUACGGGAGGCAGCAGUAGGGAAUCUUCCGCAAUGGACGAAAGUCUGACGGAGCAACGCCGCGUGAGUGAAGAAGGUUUUCGGAUCGUAAAACUCUGUUGUCAGAGAAGAACAAGUUGGAGAGUAACUGCUCCAGCCUUGACGGUAUCUGACCAGAAAGCCACGGCUAACUACGUGCCAGCCGCCGCCGUAACAC
rnacentral:rRNA from 1 species